CUAGAACUUGAGGCGAUCCUCUGCCUCAGCCUCCUGAGUGCUGAGUUACAGGGAUUGAACUCGGAACCUUGUGUUUGCGAGGCAGGUGCCAGAACUACUGAGCUAAAUCCCCGGGCCCAACCUUCCCGUUUUCAUCUGAUGCUCCUAACAACUCCUUGAGACAGACAGAGACCAACAAGAAGCCAAAAGCUCUGCAAAAAAAGGGGCCCCUCAUCUUCAGCCUCUUGCCAUCCCCCUUGCAUGAAUGAAUCUUGUCCAAGAACUGGGAGAAACUUCAGAGGGGAAGCUCGCAUGUUGUUGGAGUUCAUCUAAAAACAACCAAACAAUCAAAAAUACUGCAAGCGGGGGAUUCCCCAUCCAUGGGAAAAAGAAUAUUAAAGUUCACUUCAACUGUGGGCCAAAGACAGGAUUUAAGCACCUGGUUAUUCUUUUAUUCACUCCCUUAUGAAUCAUGAUGUGAUAGCCAACCUGUCUCCAUUUUGUGCCUCAUCACCAUUCCCCCUCCCCCCUUGGGAGUCCUCUCUGUUGAUGCUUGACAGACCACUGCACCCCAUUUGGUAGAGCAGUCUGCAGCUAUAUGUUAUCUUUAUGACCUUGUGAAGAGAAUACUCUGCACCUAUGUGAUAUUUUGUUUCAACUAAAUUCUGUGAAACUUCCCCUGACCCUCACUAAUUUAGCAAAGCUCUGCUUCUGUAAAAUUCUGCUUGUGUUCCCCCUCUCCCAGAGCCGUCCCCAACUAGAAGAGCCACUAAAAAAGAAACCUGCAAGCUGCUUUUCGGGGUCAAGAGAUUCUGAGUGCUAGCUCCUCUCAACCGCCAGCAAUAAAGGACUCAAAUUUGGCUCAGAGUGUUGGUGAUUCCCUAUAAUCUCUCUUGAUUGAAUAUAACAAUGACACUG
rnacentral:lncRNA from 1 species